UUAAUAGUGGAUCAUGUGCUUUUCCUUUAUAUUGAAAUAUAUAUCUACUUUUCAUUCGUUGUCGAGUUGCUUGAUUCAUAUCCAUGCUAAUAGACUGACAAUUAAUUUAUGUAAAAAAUGUCCUUUCAAGAUCUUAUAAAGAAUUUUAAACUUUCUACUUAUUUUUGAUUGAACGUUAUAUAUCGAUUUCGUUCUCGUAACGAAAGAUCGCAAUUAGAAAGACACAACGCAAGAUGAUUUAAUUGGAAAACAAAUUGCGGUAAACUUGCUGUUCGUGAAGUUUGCAUUAUCAUUAAUUAUUUGUGUGUAUAAAAGAUCUAAGUCUUAAUUCUGUCAAUAUAUAAAUAAAAUUUCUACAAAAAUGAAGUAUCGAAAGAGACCUGCACAGUGAGGUUAUGUGAUACUUUUUCCAUCACAGGAACGAUACAAAUUUUCCUGGACUAGCAGACAAAUACUUGAAAAUAAUGCUUGGUAAAUUUAUAAGACAAUUCUGGAAAGAAUGGUCAGGAACAAAAAAUCUAUAUGCAGUAAAAGACCGAUAUAAUAUGAGAGACAAACAAAAAGGUAUCCGUACAAGGGAAAGGUUCGCGCUAAUGUACGCUUUCGCCGCGUGGACUUGUUUCGGUUUUACAUUCUACUCACUAGUGAAGAACAGAAUGCCGGAUGACCCAGCUGAAAAAAGAGCGUCGAUACAUAACCUAGCUGGUGCACCUGGUAAUUUAUACGUAUGUAAGAUUGAAGGUUUGACUGUUGUGGAUGAAUUCCAAAUGAAAUUCGAGGAAGAGGACGAAGACGAAGAAGAGGAAGAGGAAGAGGAAGAGGAAGACAAAUAAUAGGUGAACUUUAGAAAUUCUGUGAACUGUCAUACCCAGCAUUCUGACGGUACGCGGAGCGAUUAUAGUCCUCGUAACCAGUGUCGACGUCGAAGGGCAUGUAAGGCAUUUGCGGUGUCUGAACCCUGUCCAAGUGAUACUCGGAUCCAGCAUAUUGAUUGAUAUAAGUGUGAGACAUCGCGGGCGACAGUUCGGCAUGGUACAUGGGUGUCGCGGUCCUCGAGGGCAUACCGUCGUUAGUUCCCGUAUUAACGGAGAGACUAGCGAAUCUAUCGUAAAAUUCAAAAGGGUAAAAACAAUUCAAAGCAUAUAUAUUGCAAUCUCUGCAAAAAAAAUACCUAUAUACAUAUACUAUUAACCUUUGAGCUAAGUCCGGGACAGAACUGUUCGGCGUGUAUUUGCCUUCGUGGCUACCGAGACCGACGGCGCUGGGAGUAGUUUUCGUGUUGCCGAAUUUUUGUACCAUACUGGGCUGUUGAGGGACGGACUAUGAAAGAGAGAAAGAAAGAGAGAGGAGGAGAGAGAUUGAUGAGUAUCAAUUAGUCAACAUCUUAAUACCCGUUUGUACAUAGUUCUCAUCUAGGAAUUAAAAGAGCUAUUAAUAUACAAGGACAAUGUAUGUUGCAAGAUGAUAUAAAUAAGCUUAAGAAAGAAAACGCGAUUUAUUUAUUAACUUCAGUAAAAAAAGUCAGCGCUUCUUUUGGAACUGGCGAUUUAAUAUCGAAAAAUUGGAAGUUUAUAGUUCUCAAAAGAUUCAUCAAUAACCAAGAUUUUAUCUCAUUGGGUAUGUUAGGAAAUGUGAUGACACUCUGUGUAAUUUGUACAUAAUGUAAUUUACCAUAGAGCUUGGCAUUGUCGGAUGAUUGUUACGUCGUCUCGUUCUUUUGUUCGGUUCUGUUGUCCAUACAUUGAUAACUGAGCAUAAAUAAUAUUAAUUGUUACAAUAUAAUCAAUAUUUUGGUCAUAAAAAGCAUAUAUAUUUAAUGUUAGAAAACAGGAUGCCAUCAGAAAUGAUGAGAAGACAGUAAAAAAGGAUAUUCCCGUGUAUAUAUUUCAUUAAUAUGAUGAUAAAAAUUACAUGAACGGUGAGAAUUUAUUAUCAAUAAUAAAUAUAAUUGGAAAGUGAAUACGUUAGAUACAACUACAAUGAAAGAUUUUAGACACCUGAGUAAAUGCUAGAAAGAAUUCUAUCAAGCUAUGGAAUAAGAUUCUUAAUUAACAUAUGUUAGAAACAAGAAGAGAAUAAAAAUUUCCAAGUGCCCAAAAUAACGCGAUAAAGAGAAGUCCGAUAUAACGGCUAGCAACUAACGAGAAAUGACGCUAAGCGCGAAGACGCCUCUGACCUAAACUUAAAAAUGCCUUUUCUCGCAUGCAACGAUCUAAUAAUAUCCCGCCUAUUAAUAUAUUUAUGUGCCUGCACUUUCUGUGCAUUAUCAUCUCUCGAGAUGGAAUGCAUGCAUACGUUAGUAUUAUGUCAGUAAUACUAGCGAGAGAAAUGAAAAAAAAACGCAAUUGAUCGGAUUCUUCUCGAUCUGGAUGAAAGAUACAAGGAUAUUCGCGCGAGGAAAGUGUUUUUCGCACAAAGUGCGACGAACUGCGCGCUUGAAUGCGUGCGGCUAGAAAGGAACGGGGGAAGGGGAAAGGAUUAAAUCUCCACCGCGAGAAUAUACGUACUUGGCAUUUCGGGUGGCGUUUCUUUCUUUACGUAUCUCCCUUCGACGCCCUCCUUGAUCGUCCUCAGAUCCUUGUUCUUGCGCGACAGCAUGCUGGAGGAGUCGUCCACGAAAUCGAAACGUCGUCGUACAAGUCACCGCGGAACAAUGGUGCUACCUAACCUAUCGUACGAGUCGCGACAUUGGCGCGAAUUCUCCUCUCGUUUUCCUUUUCUCUUCCCUUUAUCGAACCCUUUUAUAGAAAUGGACGAUUUUAUAAUAUCACUGUGGCUUUCCUAUCUCCUUUU